GAUGAACGCUGGCGGCGUGCUUAACACAUGCAAGUCGAACGGAAAGGCCUCAGCUUGCUGGGGUGCUCGAGUGGCGAACGGGUGAGUAACACGUAGGUGAUCUGCCUUUCACUUCGGGGUAAGCUUGGGAAACUGGGUCUAAUACCGGAUAUUCACGGCACCGUGGUUGGUGUGGUGGAAAGCUUUUGCGGUGGGAGAUGAGCUUGCGGCCUAUCAGCUUGUUGGUGGGGUAAUGGCCUACCAAGGCGGCGACGGGUAGCCGGCCUGAGAGGGUGUGCGGCCACAUUGGGACUGAGAUACGGCCCAGACUCCUACGGGAGGCAGCAGUGGGGAAUUUUGCACAAUGGGCGGAAGCCUGAUGCAGCGACGCCGUGUGGGGGAUGAAGGCCUUCGGGUUGUAAACUCCUUUCGUCAGGGACGAAGUUUGUUUGACGGUACCUGGAUAAGAAGCACCGGCUAACUACGUG
rnacentral:rRNA from 1 species